rnacentral:tRNA from 1 species
GGGGAUAUAGCUCAGUGGAAGAGUGCAUGCUUUGCAUGUGUGAGGACUUGGGCUCAGGUCCCACCUUCUCUG